UUUUUUUUUGCUUUUUUGUUUUUUAGGGCUGCACUCGUGGCAUAUGGAGGUUCCCAGGCUAGGGGUCGAAUCAGGGCUGUAGCUGCUGGCCUACACCACAGCCACAGCAAUGCAGGAUCUGAGCCACAUCUGUGACCUAUACCACAGCCCACAGCAAUGCCGGAUCCCCAACCCACGGAUUGAGGCCAGGGAUUGAAUCCGAAACCUCAUGGUUCCUAGUCAGAUUCGUUUCUGCUGCGCCACAAUGGGAACUCCUAUAAAACUUUUUUAAGCGACAAAAUUAUAACAAUAGAGAACAGAUCAAUGGUUUCCAGGGUUAAAUAUAGUGUGGGAGUAGAAGAGAAGUAGGUGUGCAAUGAAAGGGCAAAAUGAGGGACGCAGUGGUGAGAGAAUUAUUCACCACUGAUAAUCAACAUCCUGGUUGUGACAUUGUACUAUAGUAAUACAAGAUGUCACCUCCAAGAGAAAACAAAGAAUAUGUGGGAUCUCUGUAUUUUUUUCUUAUAAAUGCAUGAGAAUCUAUAAUUCUGUCAAACUUAAAAGCUUAAUUUAAAGAUUAAAACAUUUUAAUAUCUAUAAAACUCUAAGAAAAAUAAAACCGUAACAAACAGGGGAAAAUACUUCUUUUUUGAGGGAGGAGAAAAUUACAUCUUUCUUUUCCCUACCAUCUAGCAGAAAUUGAGUACUUUCUUCAAUUAUGAAGGUAGGCAACAAACCCCAUAGGUUAGCAGUACCUGUGACUUUGUCACCAACAGAAAUCACAGGUCUGAAAAUACUUCUUAUACAAAUAUCAAAGCGUUAAGAUACUGAAACCACAUAUAAAUGAGAUAAAGAUGGGCACCAUAUUAGAAAACUGAGCAAAAGAUAUAAAAAGGGACUUCAUUCUCAUUCUCUCUCUCUCUCUCUCACACACACAACACAGAUAUAAUUAAUCAAUAAAUAAUUUGAAGGGAAGUCAGCCUUACUAAUAAUUAAGGAAAUGUAAAGGAACAUGAUGCUAUGAUACUAUUCUCACUGUUCAACUACCGAAGCUUAAAAAAUAAACAAAAAGGAUAAUAUCCAACAUAUGUAACACUGCAGGCAAAUGUAUAUUUUCAUAAAAACAACAAAGAUUACUAACACUUAUUUACUGAGUACCUAUCACAUACACACCAAACAAGGUUCUAAGCAUUUUAUUUAUAUUAACUGAGUGACCUAAUCCUCACAACAAGGUAAAGGGUUGAACACUUAUCGAGAAGCAAACCAAACACUGAGAGGUUAGAGCAAUUUGUCCUACGUCAGGGAACUAGUAAAUAACAGAGCCAAGAGUCAAACUUUUAUUUCCCAGUUGUUUUUUGAUAACAGAUAGGUAUUAUUUGUAAUACCAAAAAUUCAUUUUGUACACAAUUAAAAUGAUGCCCCCUCAAGAUAGUGACUAAAUAUUCUAACAUUAUAAUUAUUUUAAUGCUCCUCUUCAUCUCUGUGUCCUAUAAUGCCAUUAACAGCCAAUCAAAAUUGGUUAUAUUAUCACUACUACAAAUUAUAAAUAAGUUAGUUCUCUCUUAUCCAUAAUUUAAAAAAUAUUUUACCUUUUUGGCUGUUUCCGAAAGCUCUGAAAUCAUUACUAUACUGUGUAAUAUAAUAAUAUAUACCAUAAAAUCAAAUGUAUCCAAUAUCUCACUCGGUAUCUUCCCCAAGUUCUAAAAUAUCUGAGGCAUCCAUAAUAAAACUGAGCUUAUAUGCUUAUAAAUCAGUACCCUUUAUUAACUGCAUUUUGCCUUAGCAAGAUCCUUUACAAAUGCCUUCUCAUUAAUGUUCAGUAUAGGUUAAAUGUAUUUUACUGAAUCUUACUUAUUUAGAAACCAGUAACCCAUGCAUGUAAGAUGCCUCUACCAGCCAAAAUAUUUUACCAGUCCCCAAUGAUGCCACAUUAACUCACUUAUUAUUGCACUGUUAUUUUAGUAUUCUCUAAGAUUUUAUACUCCAAAAAUAUUCUUUCCUGUUCUAUUUCAUCUCCUGAUAAAUUUCAUUUUGGAAGUUUUAUUUUAAAAAAGGAAAACAGAACAUACCAACAGAUUGUAAACAAAAACAUACUUGCUAAACACAAGUACUAAACAGUUGAGGAAAACAUUUCAGUGUAACUCUAUUAUUACUAGAGACCAGUUUGUCUAGACUACUCAGAAGGUUGUCACUUUUCCCCAAAGAGUAUUUGGUUCUAAACCUAAAACUGCAAAACCAGAAGGAGCAGCUUAGAUUUAAUUUCUAUCACCUUCAUCAAUAACACUAACCUCCAACAACAGAGUUAAAUCACAUUCGGAUAAAUGUAUCAAAUAAGAUUCUCAAAAUCAGGAGUUCCCAUUGUGGCUCAGUGGUUAACAAACUCGACUAGCAUCCAUGAGGAGGGAGGUCUGAUCCUUGAUCUUGCUCAGUGGGUUAAGUAUCCGGUGUUGCCAUGAGCUGUGGUGUAGGUCACAGAUGCAGCUCAGAUCUGACCAUGCUGUGGCUGUGGUGUAGGCCGGCCGCUACAGCUCUGAUUUGACCCCUAGCCUGGGAACCUCCAUAUGCAGCACACGCAGCCCUAAACAAACAAACAAACAAACAAAAAAAGAAUCUCAAAAUCAACCUUUAAUACUGUGCUUCCCCGUUACAGAACAGAGUUCAAACCUUACCAUGGAUGGCAAAAAGGAGCAACUGAUUGUGUAGCAACUGUUUCACUAGAUGCACGAGUAGCAGUAGUGAGGGAUAAUCUUGCAAAUGUGCUGGUUGAGCUGCAUUCCCCAUCAAGACAGUAUUGAAACUGGUGCACCCAGUCUGAGGUGCACUUUCACCACUGGAUCAGAAUACUGUUGCAGUUGCAGACUGAGUAACAGAGCUGGUAGCAGAACCAAAAGCAAAAGGAGUGAUACCAUCAUCUGGUGUGAUUGGACACUGCUUGUUACAGCAUUAGUAAGGGUGUUGGUACCCAGCCCAAAGCAUCUCUAAUCACUGUAGGUUGUGUGAAAGCCAUGUUACCCAAGUUUAACUUUUGUGCAUUUAUUGUAAACAGAAAAAGGAAAAAAAAUCAAUAUAAUAGUUCUCUGACACAUUAAAUAGCAGCUAGAUAACAUAGCUCUUGUCAAACUGUGUUUUAAAUAUGAACACUUUGCAAGAUUUUAUUCUGUGGGUUAUUUCAUCUCAGUACAGAAAGAAAAAUAACCAGAUAUUAAUAUAGGAAUACAUGCACAGAGCUCCCUUUUUGCUCAUUCAUAGAUAAAGGUUUCCUAACCUGGUCUACUUUAAGGAGAAAAAAGUCUUAAAAGGUUUUGACGGGGAAGGAGUAGUUCAGAAAAUUUUAUUUUCAGUAGAGACAACAGAACUUACAUUUCUAUCAGCCUGGCAGACUUCAUUAAAAACCAUAGUUUUUUGUUCUAGACACAAUCACAAAGUCACACAAGAGGCAUCCCUUUAAUAGAGUUUCCAGAAAUUUUUAAAUGUAUUUCAUGACCCAUGAAAAAAGCACUUCAAUAUUUAAAUUAUCCACCCUAGGAAAGGUUAUUUAACACUCAAUUACAAGUUAUUAGAUAACUAACACCAUAGGGGAAAAUUCCAGAGGGAAUACUCCAGCUUUCAUCAGGCUAUCAGGUGUUACUGAAAGAAAUGGCUGGAUCCAACUGAAUUUAACAUAGAAGGACAUUUUCAAAAUGCUCCCUUUAAAAAUUCUGAGAUGCAUGAAGGAAAAACGUAUACCCAAGGUCAUUACAAUGAUCAAUAGACAAAGAUCUCUCUAGAGAAAGACACUUAAUAAGCAAGCAGCCUAAUUUCAAGAUGAUAUAUGUUCAAAACCCAGUGAGUACUCUUCCUAUGGCUCACAUAAAAUGAAGGGAUACCACUGAUCAGAAUUCAAUGUGCCUUGUGUCUCAAAUCAGCAACAGCUUCAAUUUUAUAAGACCAUCUUGGGAAUAAGUGGCAUAAUUCCUAAUAAUUGACUUAGAAAGAUCAUACUAUCUCUUUACCCUUUCCAUGCUUUGAAUGGAAAGUUUGUCUUUGAAAGAUGAUUACCUUUGUAGGCACUAAAAGAAUCAAACCAUACUGCUCUUACCCUAAGGAAAAUCCAGUUCCUACCGGGACAGGAGUUGAUGCAACUUGGUGCUCCAAAGCUGAAUCAUGUAUUCUGCCUAGCUGGAGCUGUGUUAAUGAAUGAGAACAGGCCAGUAGAAGAGGUACUUCUAAAUGGUUGGGACAGAGUCCCCAAAUUCAACCCUCCUAUACAAGGUGUGAAGAAAGUAAACUAUACCUGAAGCAGUUGUCUUUGCAGAGCCAAAAGUGAACCAACCUAUAGGGGUACCAGUUCCUCCGAAAAUAAACCAGCCCUGACUCCAAACUCUAAAUGGGGGUGAGAGAGAAAUGGAAAAAGAAAAUCAAGAGAUCUCAACAAGACUUCUAAGUCACCAUGGUAGAUAGAAGCCACACUGGAAUCUCUCUCUUCUACUCCAAUCUCCAAGAAAUAUCAGUUAAAAAGCACUUAAUAAAUACAUUUUUUUAAAAAAAAAUGCAAAGCAGAGUUUUCAAAGAAGACAAAUUUCCAGGUACCAGACAGGAAAUUCAUAUCUAUGAGCAGAAGCUAAAACUGCCCAAGCCCAAGGGGGUGACUUGAAUGAGAUAUCUGCUCUAAAAGCAGGAACUAUGCUAGAUUGUGGGUAAAUUUGAGGCUAACAGGGUAAGGGCAUAGUCUCCUCAAUCUCCAGAGACCUAGUGAAGCUUAAAUCUCAGAAACCUCUACAGAAGAAUGGAAAAGGCAAUGGAGACAGGCAAGCACCCCAAGCUGGUACAAAAAAUAUGCAUAGGUGGCUCGAAUUCAAUCUACCUUUGUGAUACAGAAAUUUCAAACUAAGAUGUUAACAUAAAAACUAGUUAGGAGCUGAUGAAACUUUCAGGGCCCAGGCAGCUAGUCCACAACAUCACUUAGCAGAGAUACCUCCACUUCCUAGGUCACACCCAUGAUCCUUAAAAAAAAAGCCCCCAGAAAAUCAAAACUCAAAGAUAAGAAUUACGAAACAUCUCCCACGUUGCUGUGGCUGUGCCGUAGGCCAGCAGCUCCAGCUCAGACCCUCCAUAUGCCGCAGGUGCGGCCCUAAAAGACAAAAGACAAAAAAAAAAAAAAAAAAA
rnacentral:lncRNA from 1 species